UACCUGCAGCUCAAGUAGUGACCACUAUUAUUGGGCCUAAAACGUCCGUAGCCGGUUUGGUAAAUGCCUGGGUAAAUCGUGUAGCUUAACUAUACGAAUUCCGGGUAGACUGCCAAACUUGAAACCGGGAGAAGCUAGAGGUACUCCUGGGGUAGAGGUGAAAUUCUGUAAUCCUAGGGGGACCACCAGUGGCGAAGGCGUCUAGCUAGAACGGGUUUGACGGUGAGGAACGAAGCCCUGGGGCGCAAACCGGAUUAGAUACCCGGGGUAGUCCAGGGUGUAAACGCUGCUUGCUUGAUGUUAGUUGGGCUCCGAGCCUAAUUAGUGUCGGAGAGAAGUUGUUAAGCAAGCUGCCUGGGAAGUACGAUCGCAAGAUUGAAACUUAAAGGAAUUGGCGGGGGGAGCACAGCAACGGGUGGAGCGUGCGGUUU
rnacentral:rRNA from 1 species